rnacentral:rRNA from 1 species
AUUGAACGCUGGCGGCAUGCUUUACACAUGCAAGUCGAACGGUAACAGGCCGCAAGGUGCUGACGAGUGGCGAACGGGUGAGUAAUGCAUCGGAACGUGCCCAAUCGUGGGGGAUAACGCAGCGAAAGCUGUGCUAAUACCGCAUACGAUCUAAGGAUGAAAGCGGGGGACCGUAAGGCCUCGCGCGAUUGGAGCGGCCGAUGUCAGAUUAGGUAGUUGGUGGGGUAAAGGCUCACCAAGCCAACGAUCUGUAGCUGGUCUGAGAGGACGACCAGCCACACUGGGACUGAGACACGGCCCAGACUCCUACGGGAGGCAGCAGUGGGGAAUUUUGGACAAUGGGCGCAAGCCUGAUCCAGCAAUGCCGCGUGCAGGAAGAAGGCCUUCGGGUUGUAAACUGCUUUUGUACGGAACGAAAAGGCUCUGGUUAAUACCUGGGGCUCAUGACGGUACCGUAAGAAUAAGCACCGGCUAACUACGUG